GUGGAGUCAAAGUGGCAUAUUUCAGAAUUAUCCUCUGAUUUGUGUCUCAAAUGCUCCCAUAUUAAUGAAUUCACGAACGGCAUUCUGUUCAAUAAUUUAUAUUGAUGCAGUUACUAGUUUCGUGCACA
rnacentral:snoRNA from 1 species